CUGGUGUGACAAGCAUAGUAUAUAUUCCAUUUAUGUUCCAGGAAAAUCGUGUGUCUCUUCUUUUUUAACAUGUUGUAAAAUUCUUAUGUCAUGUUACAAACUGGUUUCUUUUUACUUUUGUGAUUCUGCCAUUUUCUAGUGGAAUAGUUGCUAUUUUAGUAAUCCUCAUGUUAAAACUACAUCAUUGAAAUGGAAACUUCCAUUUGGCACUCUGGCAUUUAGACUUCUCUUUACUCUGAUUUUUUCCUUCCUCCAUAGUCCUUUCUCUCUUUCAAUGUGCUUUAUAACUGAUUUAUGGUUACAUGAAUUGUUCUUUGGAUCCUGUGACUGUGUGCAUGCUCAGUCAUGUCUGCCUCUUUGUGACCCCAUGGACUGUGCCCUGCCAGGUGCCUCUGUCCAUGAAAUUUUUCAGGCAAGAAUACUGGAGUGGGUUGCCAUUUCCUACUCCAGGGGAUCUUCCCAACCCAGGGAUUGAACCCAUGUCUCCUGCGUCUCCUGCGUCUCCUGCAUUGGCAGGUGGAUUCUUUACCACUGAGCCACCUGGGAAGCCUCUUCUUGGAUCUUACCUGACCAGAAUAAAAUCUCUGAGUUCACACAUUUCUAUCUUGUUCAGUGAAACAUCCUCAGUGUCUCAAACAUCCCCAUCACAGAGUAUUUGUGAAAUAAUUCCACUGGAUAAGUGAAGUUCCUGUAUGGAUUUCAGCUUCCACUCUGUUUCCACAGCUUAGAGUUGAAAUCUGACUCAGACUUUCAAACUGAUCUGGCCCUGAAUCCAUCCACUAACCUAUACUUCCUUCCUUCUUUUCUUCCUUCCAUCUGCCAGCUCUCAGCUUCCAGUCUGCCUAGGCUCUAACUCUUCCCAUUGCCACCUGAAACUUGGUUUUUUACACUUUCUUCUCGCUAUUAGCUAUGGUUCUUUGACCUAAUACUGCCAUAAUGUGGUGAAGCAUUAAUCUGUAGAAGGAUAGAGGUACACCAGUAAGUAUCCCUUGGAGAAGGGAAUGGCGACCCACUCCAGUAUUCUUGCCUGAAUAUCCCGCCAGUAAGUAUCCCACGGACAGAGGAGCACGGAGUCAGACACGACUGAAGGACUAAGCACACACACACCAGUAAGCACAAGGUGGCUGCCAAUGUUUCACACAAGGAACACAGGUGUGAGUGUUGGAACUGAUGGUUCCCAGGACACUGCAUCACAAAAGGCCCUUCUGGCAUCUCCCCAUCUUUCAGCAAGAAUAGCACGCAUCCUGAGAGUUGUUACGUGGACUUUUCAGCUUUCAAUUCAUUUCAGAUGUGGCUUAAAGUAACAUGUCAUUCAGAGUUUGUUUGCCUGUAGGGUGAUUCAUUCAUUGAUCUCCUAAACAAACAUAUAGUAGGUAGGGGAGAAGACAGGAGAAAAAGGGAGGGAAGGAAGAAAUGACAGAGGAAACAAUUUUUACCCUAGGGCAUCCAUGUUGUGAUUACCUCUCAAAAACUAGAAACAAGCAGUUUGGUUCCCUGUGUGAAAAUUCAAACUGGUAAAACCAUGAACUUGAGGUGAGUUCUGUGGCUUCUCUAAAGUAUCUGGGGUUCUGUAGCUUGGUUGGUUGGUUGUUGCUUUCAUUUAAAAGAAGAUGAUAUUUAUAAAUGAGAGAGGGAUUAGAAUAUGAAUAACAAAAUGAAGCUGAUGAUUCCUGUUUAAAAUAUUGAAAAUUGGGGGUCAGAAAAGAAUCAAAUCAUGAAUCUUUUCUUCAUACCUGUAAGAACCAGGCUGUAAAUUUAUUGCGUGUUGUAUAGAGAGCCCAAAAUAGUAUGUGUGUGUAUGUUUAAGACACUUCUCUGUGACUCAUUCAACAAACAUGAUCAUCUUCCAAGUGCAAGGCCCCGCGUCCAGUGCUACAGGAAGAACAGCAGGAGACAAUGGCAGAACAAUGAGAGCUCGUGGGACUUCUCUGGCGAUCCAGUGGCUAAGGCGCCACACUCCCAAUGCAGGUUCAAUCCCUGAUCAGGGAACUAGACCCCACAUGCCUCAAAUAAGAGUUCACAUACCACAACUCAGACCCGGCCCAGACAAAUAAAUAAAAAUAAAUAUAAAAAGAACAAUGGGAGUUACUAUUUCUAUGGGCAAAUAUGCUGUGCCUGUUUCUUUCAAAAGUUAUACUUGAGUCUCACAAAAAUCUGCAACAUAGAUAUUAUAAUGUGUACUUUCCUUCCAAGUACGAGAAAACUGAAGAUUAGAAAAGUUCAGUAAUAUUCCAAGCCAAACAGCUUACAUGUAUUCAAUUCAAUGUUUUGACAGUACCACAUCCAUGUUAUUUUGACUAAGCCGCCUUCGAGGUACUCAUAACCUGGAAGACAUGAUCUCUCUCAUUUGCUCAACUUCUUUCUUUCUCUCUCUCUGUCUCACACACACACUCAUCUAGGCUGUGAUCUAUAUACAUAUCUAAAAGAGAGACAAAUACUCUCACUUGAGCACCUAGAUUCUGAGGGCUCCGGUGGCUGCCUGGUCAUUUGCCGGCAGUUCAUGCUGUAGUCUACGCACUCGAGGGCGUGAAUGUACUGACAACUGUCCAUGUACUUACUCCCUGUGCACCCACUAAGUGCAAGAGAUACACACACUCCUAAAACCUAGUCCUGUCUUCAAGGAGAUUAGUUGCGUAUAAGAAAUUUAUAUGUCAAAAAAGUGUUGUAGUAUUGGCCAAUUUCCCAGUUCUUUUGAAAAUGUACCAGGUAGGAAAACAACAUGCCACUUGCAACAGAAUAAAGAAAACACAGAUAUUGAUCAAAAUGUUAUAAACCUGGCUUAAAGGAAAGUGUGGCUUAAGUAGUGCAAAGAGGCUCAUUUGAGAACUAUAGACCGUUUUCUUUUCCUCUUCUCUUUCAAAACAUUUCUUUCAGGCUCUUUCUCCCUCAUAAAAUUCAUAUUUUGCAUCCUUUAGGAAAAAAAAUAUUUUUCAGAGCUUACAGGUGGCAGUAGAAUGAAGGGUUAUAGAAAAUAACUAGUUUUAACUGCACAUGGGACUUCCCUGGUUGUCCAGUGGUUUAAAAUCCACCUUUCAAUGAAAGGGAUGUGAGUUUGACUCCUUGUUGGGGGACUUGGAUCUUACAUGCUGCAACCAAGCCCGUACUCUGCAACUACUGAGCCCAUGCACCAUGAGACCAUGCACCACGACUGGAGAGAAGCCCCCAUGCUGCCAAGAACUGACACAGCCAAAUAAAUAAAUACAUGUUUUUUUUUUGGAAAAACACACACACACACAGAGUUCAUGGAUCUUUGGAGAGAGUUCACUGCGUGGCGACCCAAAUCAUGGAUAGUGGUUAUACUACAAUCAGGUGACUCAUUAUAGCAAACUAUUGGCUGCAUGUUCUAAAUUUAAUGUAGCUGGGAGAAUGUUUGGUACCCUGUUAAAUAGUAAGAACAAUCACAUUUCAUUUAAAGCAAAGCCAAUUUAAGAUAUUUUAUGAUUUCAGGGAUGUUAAAAUGUGAAAAAAAGUACAUCUUAGAAUUCAUAAAAUAGGAAUAUAUAUUAGUCAAGGCUCUCCAGAGAAACAGAAAAUCCAACAGGAUGUGUUUGUAUCAUUUAUUUCCAUCUAUCUUUCUAUCUAUCUAAUUUAGAUUUUAAGAAAUUGGCUCAUACAAUUGUAGAGACUUAGAAAGUCCAAAAUCUUGAGUAGGCUGGCAGACUGCAGACCCAAGGUAGUUUCAGAAGUCACAGUUCAAGUUCAAAAGUGUUAUUCUGGCAGAAUCCCUUCACCCUCCAGCAAGGUCAGUCUUUUUCUAGUAAGGCCUUCAACUGACUGAAUGAGGCCCACCACUGCCCACAUUAUGAAGAACAAUCUGCUUUACUCAAAGUUUACUGAAUUCCCUGUUAAUUUCAUCUAAAAAUUACCUUCACAGAAACAUCUAGGCUAAAUGUUUGGCCAAAUAUAUGGGCCCUGUGGCGUAACCAAUGCCACAUGAGUCACUGUGGCAGAGGGACAUUAGGAGGAAGAUUCUCUUUGUUGUGGGAAGUGUUAGCGCUGGAACUCACCCUGUCACGGCACAAAGACAUGAGCAGAGCAGUGCUGGUUCUUCCUCUCAAGGCUUUUUUGUGGGUUGGGGUUCACCCUGUCUGAUCUCUUCUGGGCCUUCCCUUCAAAAGGGAAUCAUCCAUAAUGCAAUCAAUUAAACCCACCCCAUAGAGCAAACUUCUGGUGAGCUGCAAAGGGAAAUAGCUCUGUCCUUUUCUCUAUGUUACUAAUGUUUACAUUUCUGUUUUUCUAACUUGGACAGAAGCCAGACCCCUGGGAUUUGGGGGUGAGGGGGAUAUGGGGGGAAAAUCAAAUGUUCUGCCAAUAUAUGAAAUAUAAUUUUUUUCCCUAAAUUUUAGUUUAGCUCUUCUUUGUUGGAACUUGUGCCAGUGGUCAGAAAGAGGAGGAAGAGAGAAAAAGUAUGGUCUCCACACUGCCCCCAUCCACCACAAUCAGACCACAUUUCACUCCUACCCACCUUUAACUCUUCUCACCACUGGUUUCCCGUCCAAACACCCCGGAACCCACUGCUCUUAUAUUCUCUAGAAUGUUCCCAGGCCUGUCUCUGCCAGCAGUUAUCCCCUGUUAAAUAUUACCAUGAUCAGUUUCUUCCCUCCUCCUGCUUGCACAAUCCUGGAACCAGUGACUCACUCUUGCUUUAUUGUAAGUAUUUACAUUUUGGUUAAAAUCAUGGACCUUGGAGCCGUGGAAUCUCUUCUUCGCCACUUGUGUGACACUCGCAUCUGUUCCCUCACCUAUAAAACUGGGAUAAUGACAGUAUUUACGUCACAGAGGCUGAAGUCUGAGAUCAGAGUGCCCCCCGGACAGGACCUGGCAACGGCCCUAUUCCAAGAUGCAGACUGCUAACUCCUCGUCGCCUCCCGUGGUAGAAAGAGAGCCAGCCAGUUCUCUGACCUUUUCUUGGUUUUGUGUAACUGCACAGAGGACACAAGUAACAUCCUUCAAUAAGAAGACAAGCAGAUUAUCAUACGGAGAACCCACAGUGGAUUAAAAAAUACUAUAUGCUGAUAUGGAGUAACGGAGUAUGGAAUAAUCCUCGAAAUAUUUUGUUAAAUGAGAAAAGCAAUUGUAAUGUUAUACAUAGAGUAUUCUCUGAUACUAAAAGAAGGAAAAAGGAACUUUGGUCUUCAAGGACAAAUAAGAGUGAAUGUUGAGGAAACUAUGGGUGUUUCUAAGCAGCUAGGAUAGAGUAAUUAACA
ensembl:lncRNA